rnacentral:rRNA from 1 species
AUGAAGCACCUGCCUCUCAUGUUGGAGGGCUCGACCAGAGCAUGGCUGAAUCAGUUAGCACCCAGCAGCAUUUACACUUGGGAAGAUCUCGCCCGAGUGUUUGUCACCACAUUUGAAGGAACAUGCAAGCGACCGGUAGGGCUGACAGAACUGCGGUCUUGCGUGCAGAAGCCGAAUGAAACUUUGAGGGAUUACAUCCAGAGAUGGAUCACGUUACAUCACAUGGUAGAGAAUGUGCCUGACCACCAAGCAGUCUGUGCCUUCAAAGAAGGCGUCAAGUACAGAGAACUGAAUCUGAAAUUCGGUCGAACCGGAGAUAUGUCUCUGAAUCGGAUGAUGGAGAUUGCCACCAAGUACGCUAAUGGUGAAGAUGAGGAUCGACUCACGAGUGGCAAGCUCAAGUCAGUCGCUCAAGAAAUCGAAGGAAAUUCCAAUCGGAAACAGAAGCGGAAACCCGAGCCAGCUGCUCCUGGGGAAGCCUUAACUGUAACUCAAGGAAAGUUUAAGGGGAAACCCAAAGGACCUUGGAACCCCAAGAAAGUUAAAGACCAAGACGGAAAUGAUGUGUUGGAUUUGCCAUGUCACAUCCACACCAAUAAAGAUGAAGAGGGUAAGUUCAUUUACCCGAAACAUACCACUCGACAGUGUCGGCUCUUGAUCCAGCAGUUCCAGGGCAAGCAGCCCAAAGAUAAGGAAAAGGAGUCGGACAAAGUUGAGGACAAGGAAGACAGUGAAGAUGGAUACCCCCAGGUCAAUUCCACCCUGAUGAUUUUUGCUAAUGUUGAAAGCAAAAGUCGACUGAAAGUUAUCAACCGUGAGGUGAAUAUGGUUGCUCCGGCAACACCCAGUUAUCUGAAGUGGUCUCAGACUGCCAUCACAUUCGACCAGUCCGAUCACCCAACGCACAUUGCCACCCCUGGGAGGCAAGCUUUGGUGGUCGACCCAGUUGUUAAGGCACUUGACUGA